rnacentral:rRNA from 1 species
GCAGUAGCCGCGGUAAUACAGAGGGUGCGAGCGUUAAUCGGAUUUACUGGGCGUAAAGCGUGCGUAGGCGGCUUCUUAAGUCGGAUGUGAAAUCCCUGAGCUUAACUUAGGAAUUGCAUUCGAUACUGGGAAGCUAGAGUAUGGGAGAGGAUGGUAGAAUUCCGGGUGUAGCGGUGAAAUGCGUAGAGAUCUGGAGGAAUACCGAUGGCGAAGGCAGCCAUCUGGCCUAAUACUGACGCUGAGGUACGAAAGCAUGGGGAGCAAACAGGAUUAGAUACCCGAGUAGUCCCUGUCUCUUAUAC